rnacentral:rRNA from 1 species
UACGAAGGGGGCUAGCGCUGCUCGGAAUCACUGGGCGUAAAGCGCACGUAGGCGGCUUCUUAAGUCAGAGGUGAAAUCCCGGAGCUCAACUUCGGAAUUGCCUCCGAUACUGCCGUGCUUGAGGACUGGAGAGGAGAUUGGAAUUCACAGUGGAGCAGUGAAAUGCGUAGAUAUUGUGAGGAACACUAGUGGCGAAGGCGAAUCUCUGGACAGUUCCUGACGCUGAGGCACGAAGGCCAGGGGAGCAAACGGG